rnacentral:miRNA from 1 species
UGUGAUGCAGAAUCUUCAUCUGUGCCCCAAAGAAUUGAGUAGUGGUUUGUGCCACGGUAUAAAGAUUGAAUCUUCCUGGAUCAAUUAGACUUAAUUCAUUAUU